rnacentral:lncRNA from 1 species
AGGAUCCAGUAUCGGCUAAAGUUCUUUUAGCAUCCUAGGUGAGCUAACCCGAUUUAUACCCAUUUUUCACGACUGAAUGAGUUACGGAUAGGGAUGGAGAGCCCUGCAAAUUACAUCCAUAGUUAUUAGGACCGGAUCGGUCAUCAAACCGGUAGGGAUCUCAGCUCAAUGGUUCAUUGGUCCAACCGUUAAGAACUGGUUGAACCGCCGCUUCAAUAGCUUUAGACCGGUUGAGCGAAGCGGCCACGAAUAAUGAGAACCUGUAUAAUAUAUAUAUAUUUGAUAAUUAAAACUAGUCAAAUGUAAAAUAAGAUUAUGAAAAUAAUUAGAAGACUCGUGGCGCCCAUUUAGAAGUCCAUCGUGAGAAUUUCAUUCACAAUUAAUUUGAUAAUAAAAAGGAAAAACAAUUAUAUUAAUAUAUUAUACACUUCUACGUUUGGAUCUAUAGCGCAAUAAUAAUUUGACCCGAUGUCCUGCCCGAUGACUACUGCGACUAGCGAUGUUGAGGUCUUGAGGACGAAGGGAUUGGGACAAGGAUGGAGAGAGCAACCGAGCAUGGAUGAAGCCGAGGCGCUGAAGCUCGCCGGGCCUGCUCUGCGGUGCUCGCCACUGGCUGAACCUGUCACGCCGCCGCCUGGCUCGCCGUUCACCAUUGCGUCAGAGCUUCCCGCGGUAGCCUCCCAGUCCCAGCGUUCGCCGGCGCACGAGCUGCCUCCCUCCCAGCAGCAGGGGAUGGCAGGCCGGCCCUGCUCCACCGCGUGCUAGCGGCGGCAGCAGCAGCCAUUGCAGGCCAUGCGAAACGGAGAGAGAAAAAAAGGAAAGUUAAAGGUCAAACGUUGUGCAGCAGCCCCAAG